AUACCUUCCAUGACUGCAACUUUACUUCAUUAAGAACGGAGGAGCGGUCAGGCAAUGGCUGCAAAACAGCAGCCCUCCUGGUAGCUAACGAAGCCUGUGCCAUGUCCAUGCCACCGUAAGGGACACCUGAGACAGUU